AUUGCUAUCCUCUGCCGAUAGACUUGUGUUUAUAGUGCUUUCUUGAUAGGAUCAAUUACAAGGAUGAUGAAUUCUUCAGGAUUCAGCUACUCUGGCAGGAAAGGAACUAAGACGGUGAUGGUCUCUUAGGCUCGGGAAGGAAGCCACUGAUCAAUGCAAGGAAAAUGGAAAUAUUAAAAUUUAAAAGUACGUAUGUGUCAUUAAUGUGGGGUUGUAUGUGUUUUGAUAUUUUAUGUAAUAGCGAUGAAUGAUUAUUGUUCAGACAAAGUAUAAUAAGAACAACUCGAAACACUCAAUUCUCACUCUAAACAUGGUGAGAAGGGUCAUAAUAGUGAGGCCCUAAUUAUUGGGUGUAAAAGUCUAAAAGCGUAUUCAUAUUUUCUUAGUUACUGAUUACGAUAUCAUGGCAAAUUUAAUUAUGGGUAUGAAUACUUGUUAGAAAAUACCACGUCUUAAACCCAAAUCAGACAGGCGCUUAAGUGUGUUAUGAAUACGCUUUUAGACUUUUACACCCAAUAAUUAGGGCCUCACUAUUAUGACUCUUCUCACCAUGUUUAGAGUGAGAAUUGAGUGUUUCGAGUUGUUCUUAUUAUACUUAGGGCCUCACUAUACCUUCGUAAGUGUGUUAUGGACUAUUGGCAUAACAAUAACUCGAAAUAUGCUUAUAUUAAUAGUGCGCUUAUAAAUAAACCACAUCAACAUAACAUAACGCUUCCAUAUUCAUCUAACCAAUACAUGCCUUCUUAUAAGCAAGCUCAUUUAUCUUAUAAGACCACAAUAUUUGUUAUAUAAAUAUUGUUCAGAACUAAUUAUUUAGGGUUGUAAUGUUGUUCAGAAUUAGUCAUUUAGAGUUGUUGAAAUUCGAUAUUGAAGAAUAUGUCAAGCAUAAAAUGUUUUUAUCAGUAAUUGAUGUUCAAAGAGAAAAAAAGAAA